ACCAGAGACAUAUCUGCCUGCAGUUCUUGCGCAGUUCCCCACUGAAGCUAAGCAGGGUUGAGCCUGGCUAGUACCUGGAUGGGAGACCUCUUGGGGAAAGCUAAGGCUGCUGCUGGAA
rnacentral:rRNA from 1 species